GACGAACGCUGGCGGCGUGCUUAACACAUGCAAGUCGAACGGAAAGGCUCCAGCUUGCUGGAGUACUCGAGUGGCGAACGGGUGAGUAACACGUGGGUAAUCUGCCCUGCACUCUGGGAUAAGCCUGGGAAACUGGGUCUAAUACUGGAUAUGACCUUUCUCCUUACGGGGUUUGGUGGAAAGUUUUUCGGUGUAGGAUGAGCCCGCGGCCUAUCAGCUUGUUGGUGGGGGGAUGGCCUACCAAGGCGACGACGGGUAGCCGGCCUGAGAGGGUGAUCGGCCACAUGGGGACUGAGAUACGGCCCAGACGCCUACGGGAGGCAGCGGUGGGGAAUAUUGCGCAAUGGGCGGAAGCCUGAUGCAGCGACGCCGCGUGAGGGAUGACGGCCUUCGGGUUGUAAACCUCUUUCAGCAGAGACGAAGCGUAAGUGACGGUACCUGCAGAAGAAGCACCGGCUAACUACGUG
rnacentral:rRNA from 1 species